GAGAAAUGCCAGCAAAAGCUGUAGUCACUUGGGAAGGAAUAAGUCUGGAAGAAAAAGAUACAGCGAACUAGCACAACGAGGGUCAAAGCUUACCUAGGAGCCAUUGGAGGACACAUAUACCGCUGGUUUUGGAAGAGUUUGAAAAGUUCAUGAUGGCUCACAGCUGAUGAUAGUGGCAAUCUUAAGGAUACAGAAAGCUCAUUCCUCAUGCAGGGAAGAAGAAAAUAUUCUAAAGAAGAGAUAAGCAUAUUCCAUGAAAUCAAAAAAGCGUAAAAUGCUGGAGGAGAAGUCAGUAACAAGCAGCUAAGACAACAUGGUAUAUUUGUUUUGUAUCCACUCUGUCUAUCACUUAUUCAUCAGAAAUGUAUUGUGGCUCUGCCCUUGGCCAUGCCCUGGGCUAGGCAUAAGGAAUGCCAUGGUGAAUGCAGCGGGCAUAAUUCUUAUCCUUAUGGAACUUUCAAGCUUGUGUUGGGGACAUGGAUCUCUGCUAGAAGCCCACCAACUGCUAACAACCAGCUGGAGUGUAAGUCAAAAGCUAUGAGAGCCCAGAAGGAGAACAAUUAUUUAGUCCUGGAGGGACCAGCUGGGAAAGUCUUUGAAGGGUCUUCAGAAAAUGGCCCAAAAGAAAAGAGGAAAAGUUAUUCUACUGAGAAGUGUUUGUGUAAUCAAAGCAACCGAGGCCUAAGAACUCACAAAAGAUUAGAAAAAGGUAAAGGAUGCCUGGAAAGCUGGACUAGGAAAAGGCUGUGAAGGGCCCUGAAUGUCACAUGUCACAUGUUGCCUACAGCAUGCAGAAUCAAAACAUGAUAAAUCAUGUCUUGAAUCAUGAUAUAUGAAGCAUGACACAUGAAUCAUGACAUGUGACAUGUUGAAUGUCACAUGUCACAUGCCAUAGGCAGCCAUCAAGAGUAUUUGAAAGGAAAGUGUAUAAUCAGGCCUGUGCUUUAGUAAGGUAAUUUGUAUAGUGUUCAGUGUAGAUUAAAAUGGAGAACACAGGUAUCAGUUUGACAUCGACAGUACAGGAAACCAUUUGGGUUUCUUGUACACCUAAAUAUUAAAACAUACAUGCAAACACACCAAUACACUAAAAUCUUGAGAGAGAGGGCCAAAAGUUCUUUGUCGCUGGACUAAAAGUGGAAAUAAAUGUUUACAACCUCUAAGGUGGAUUAAGCUAAGAAUUUGGAGUUGUUGGCAAAACUGCCACAUAAAAUUUCAGACAUGCAAAGAAAUGCAAUUGUAGACUUACACACAUACUUCCACCAGAGAAGGGAAUCUGGGCAGAGUGGAUGACGUAAAAAACGUGUUCAAAGCUUAAGAAAUUCCUUGCUCUUCACCAAGAAGAGCCAACAACGUUUUCUUUGAAUCAACUCUCAUAUUCCCUUAAAAAGAAGUUGAUAAUGUUGUGGAAAACUCACCUAUUGAAGUGAUAACAAAAACAGCAACCCAGUAUGAGUUAACUGGUAUUAUGUUAAAGGGACAAGUAACUGCACUUUCGACACACACCCUCUAAAAGGUAGGGUGGGAGUGUUUCAAAGAAUCAAGUCUGAGUAAUAGAAAAGCAUAUACAACUUCCCCAUAUACAUGUUCAAGCAUGGGGGAGCAGGAGGCUGGGUAAUUGAAUGCAGUUCUGCACACUGGCCAUUUUCCCACCACAUACCAUUUCUUCGGUGUCUCUCCCAAAAUUCUCCUUCUAAGUGACACAUCCCUUUAUUGAUCAUCUUUCCCCAUACUGAUCAUCCUCAGCAAUCAUGUGAGUUAUUAGUCUAAGUAUUUUUUUUCUCAAAUAUGGUCUUUUAACUACUCCCUAAAUAUUUUAUGUAUACAUAGUUUGUUUUCCCAAUUUAACUACAAGCAUUUAAAAAAUGGGAAUGUUUGUCUAUAUUUCUGUAAUUUUUCAUCAUGCCUUAUGUGGUAUAUAAAGAUCAACAGCAAUAAAACAACAAAAGUAAUAAUA